GUGCUCGCUUCAGCAGCACAUACACUAAAAUUGGAACGAUACAGAGAAGAUUAGCAUGGCCCCUGUGCAAGGAUGACAUGCAAAUUCGUGAAGCGUUCCAUAUUUUU
rnacentral:snRNA from 1 species